rnacentral:rRNA from 1 species
CUACGGGGGGCUGCAGUAAGGAAUGUUGCGCAAUGGAGGCAACUCUGACGCAGCCAUGCCGCGUGCAGGAAGAAGGCCUUAUGGGUCGUAAACUGCUUUUAUUUAGGAAUAAACCCCCGAACGUGUUCGGGGCUGAAGGUACUAAACGAAUAAGCACCGGCUAACUACGUGCCAGCAGCCGCGGUAAUACGGAGGGUGCAAGCGUUAUCCGGAUUUAUUGGGUUUAAAGGGUGCGCAGGCGGGCUAUUAAGUCAGUGGUGAAAUCCCGGGGCUCAACUCCGGAACUGCCAUUGAUACUGAUAGUCUUGAGUUUGGUUGAAGUGGGCUGAAUGUAGCAUGUAGCGGUGAAAUGCAUAGAUAUGCUACAGAACACCAAUCGCGAAGGCAGCUCACUAAGCCAAAACUGACGCUCAUGCACGAAAGCGUGGGGAUCAAACAGGAUUAGAUACCCGCGUAGUC